CAGUUUACAUAACCAACCAAACUUGUUUGACCACGUUCGUUAGAGCUCACCUGGUUGUGGAAGCCGAAGUGCUCUGUUGUCACACUAUGCGGCUCACCUUGGGGUUGGCCACAGACUUUUAUUUAGGAUAGGCAUAUUAUUAUUUUCGGGGCAUUUAACAUUCAUGUGUGCAUUCAAAAUGUAUGUCGUCGUACUUUUGUUCAUUUUCGCGACACUUUCGACGGUGGACAGCGUGGGGAAAUGGUCGCUGAAUUACAUCUACACUGCCCUGUCAAAGCCAGUAGAAUUGCCUGGUGUCCAUGAGUUCACUGCCAUGGGUCUGAUGAAUGACAAACAGAUUGAUUACUAUGACAGUGUGUCAAAGAAGAAGAUUCCCAAACAGGACUGGAUGAGGGAGAAGCUGCCAGCAGACUACUGGGAUAAAGGCACUCAGUCACGCAAGAGCAAGGAGCAGUGGUUCAAAGUCAACAUCAACAUCCUGAUGGAUCGCAUGAGGCACAACAACACUGAUGUCCAUAUUCUUCAGUGGAAACAUGGCUGUGAGAUUGACCAACAGAGUGACGGCACAUUGAAAUUCAUAAAGGGCACAGACCAGUAUAGCUACGAUGGUGAUGACUUCCUGGCCUUUGAUGAUGCCAAUAUGCAGUGGGUGGCCCCAGUUGUUCAAGCUCAGCCGACUAAGAGGAAGUGGGACGGGGUCCAGAUCCUCAACCAGUACACCAAGGGCUACCUGGAGAAGGAGUGUGUGGACUGGCUUUCCAAAUUUAUGGCAUACGAGGACAAAGAAGUCAGUAGGGCUGAUCCCCCAAAGGUCUAUGCGUUUGCUAAAAAGGCCAAAACUGUCGGAAAUGUCCGACUGACCUGCAUGGCCACAGGUUUCUAUCCCAAAGAUGUGGAAAUGCAUAUUAAGAAGAAUAGUGUUCCAUUGACCGAACGUGAUGGAGUGCAGUCUACAGGAGUCCUACCCAAUGAUGAUGACACCUACCAGAUCAGGAUGAGUGUGCAGAUCCCAGAGGCAGAUAAGGAAACUUAUGAAUGCUCUGUCGACCAUGUAGCUUUGAAGAAGCCAGUUGUGGUAAAAUGGGAUGGGAAAUGCUGCGAUUGUACCCAAGUAACAGGUGUUAUCAUUGGUGCUGUUGUUGUGCUGGUCCUCCUGCUGACUGUGGUUAGCUCCAUGUUGGUUCUUUGGAAGAAAGGCAAAAUAUUUGCUGGUAAAAAAGGAGAUCUACCAGCUACUGGGAUCCAGGCACCUCUAAAUGGCAAUGGAAAUGGAGCAGCCGUUUUGAACAUGCCUGGUAAGACUUACAAAUCUCAUAGUUGUAGAGUGGAGGUCAUGUUAUGUUUCACAGUUGUUAAAAGCAGAGAAGGCUCCAAUGUCUUUCAUGCAACGGAGGGUAGAUUAUAAUUACAAUUAAGAAUAAUUGACUGAUAGCAUUGAUUUCAGGUAUUGUAAAAAAACGUGUUCAUUAAGUUUUCAAAAGUGACUUUAACAAUACAACAAGGUCUGUCAUGUUUACUUUUUGCCGCAAAGGUUGCACCUUUAUCACAAGUCAUGUGGUAUGUAGACUUGUACAAUGAGGGGACUCUGGUAAUGUAAUGGCCUCCCAAAUCAUGGCCUCCCAAUCUCAUUUUUGAAUGUUACACAUUUUUCUGGUGUUAGUUGUUGUUGAAAGUACUAUUAUGUAUCUGAGCACUUAAAGGAUUUGGUUCCUCCAGCCAUGCCACCAUGUAUCCAACUAGGCAACUGGCACAUGUCCAUCAACAGUACAAACCAUAUAUUAACUAACAUCCCCAAACAUCCAGUGGUAAAAAAAAGUACUCAAGUGUCAUACAUGAGUAAAAGUAAAUAUACAAUAAUAGAAAAUGACUCAAGUAAAAGUCACCCAGUAAAAUACUACUUGAGUAAAAGUCUAAAAGUAUUUGCGUUUAAAUAUACUUAAGUAUCAAAAGUAAAUGGAAUUGCUCAAAUGUACUUAAGUAUCAAAAGUAAAGUAAAAGUUGGAAAAAAAUAAAUAGCAAAGUAAUGUUCAGAUAACCAAAAAAACAACUUAAGUAGUACUUUAAAGUAUUUUUACUUCAGUACUUUAUACCACUGCAAACAUCCCAACAUCCUUUUACAAAUAUCAGCAUCAUGACAUGUAUACUAACUGCACUAUUACUAUGUAUUAUUUAGGUGUAAUUCUGUCAUGUUUGCUAUUUGAUGCAAACUUUACUUUAAUCACCUUUGUCACAAAUCAUGUGGUAUGUAGACUUGUAAAAUGAGGGGACUGUGAAUCAUAGUCAAGAAAAUGUUUCUCAAGGAAGGGAACACCUAAAGAAUAACUAGCAAUUAGACACUGAAUAUAGUGGGAGACAACAUGACACAUUAAUUCUAACUAAUUAAUUAUCUGUACCGAGUAGGAUUAUUAUGACACUGACGUGAAAUGUAAAGUCACAUCUUCUAUGUACUAGGUGGGUAGUUAUCGAUUCAGUCAAAUCAGAGAUUGAAUUACAUUGCUAUGAUGAUUUAUCUGUUAAUUCAUAGAAUUUUAUUUGGGAAUAUGCAUGCCUAUAGAGGACCAAUGAUCAUCACUUAAUGCUGUAUAUCUGUAUCUAACUAAAGAGUGAUAAUAUUCUCUUUUCCCAGGGAAAAGGGAUGACGCUAGCAGCACUGACUCUGGUCAAGGCAGCAACGAAAGUCUAGAGAAGGAGGCAAUUCUGCCUAAUGGAGCCAUUGAGGAGUGACUGACAACGCAUCUAAAUCUAGCAAACAACAUGUGAUUCUGUUUUGUCAACAAAUACUGUCAAUGUGGAUGUGUACAUUCCCAAGAAUUGACCGUUUUGAUCGGCUUGGAUUUGAAUAUCGAAUAUCAUAUUAGAAUUCCUUUUCAACAAAUUGACUUGUAAACCGCCUAUAUUUGGGCCAUUUUAAUGUAUUGGUAUUGGAACCUUAUUCUAUUUCUAUUGUAGGUUGUUUAUUUUAAACUAGAAACCAAUCAUUUAAAUCGUUGCACACACAUAAACACACAUGCACUGAACUGCUUUUUAAAUAUGUUUUGUUUUCAUUUUUCGGGGAAAGUAUAAAUCACUGCUUUAAUAAAAUACUCCUUUAUGAACCAA